GGAGGAUUGCUUGAUUCUGGGAGAUGGAGGUUGCAGUGAGCUGAGAUCACGCCACUGCACUACAGCCUGGGUGACAGAGUGAGACCCUGUCUC
rnacentral:miRNA from 1 species